GUAGGUGGCAAGCGUUGUCCGGAAUUAUUGGGCGUAAAGCGCGCGCAGGUGGUUCUUUAAGUCUGAUGUGAAAGCCCCCCCGGGCUCAACCGAGGGAGGGUCAUUGGAAACUGGGGAACUUGAGUGCAGGAGAGGAAAGUGGAAUUCCACGUGUAGCGGUGAAAUGCGUAGAUAUGUGGAGGAACACCAGUGGCGAAGGCGACUUUCUGGCCUGUAACUGACACUGAGGCGCGAAAGCGUGGGGAGCAAACAGGAUUAGAUACCAUGGUAGUCCACGCCGUAAACGAUGAGUGCUAAGUGUUGGGGGGGUUUCCGCCCCUCAGUGCUGCAGCUAACGCAUUAAGCACUCCGCCUGGGGAGUACGGUCGCAAAGACUG
rnacentral:rRNA from 1 species